rnacentral:ncRNA from 1 species
GGAGGUGCCGGAUGUAAUGUCCGGUGAAAAGAGAAGCAGGUGAGAAUCCUGCACGAUCUCGUCACCGUAUUUCGAGAGCCGAGGGCCAUGUCCACUGGGAAACCGGGAAGGGGCCGGAGGCGUCUGAUCGAUAAGCCGGGAGACCUGCCUUUCGCA